UACGGAGGGGGCUAGCGUUGUUCGGAAUUACUGGGCGUAAAGCGCACGUAGGCGGCUUUGUAAGUUAGAGGUGAAAGCCCAGGGCUUAACCCUGGAACUGCCUUUAAGACUGCAUCGCUAGAAUCGUGGAGAGGUGAGUGGAAUUCCGAGUGUAGAGGUGAAAUUCGUAGAUAUUCGGAAGAACACCAGUGGCGAAGGCGGCUCCCUGGACACGUAUUGACGCUGAGGUGCGAAAGCGUGGGGAGCAAACAGG
rnacentral:rRNA from 1 species